AGACAGGUUGGACCCAUACCGAAGCUAGCCUAGCCACCUUGCAUUGCAGAAACUGAGACAGAGGGUGGCUUGUGCCUUGCCCAAGUGACAUAGCCAGUCACCGGCCUAACAGGGGCAAGCUCUCAGGAAUCCUGGCCCAAUACCCUGUGCACAGCUGCCAAGUGGGAGUGGCUGUGAAUGCCGAGGACUCUGGACAGCCAAGAUGCAGCCAAGUCCUCUCUGGACUUACAAUCACAGCAGUGCUGAGAGGCAAGCGCAUAGAGGUCAUUGCUCAAAUGCUUGAGGAUUCAGAGGAAAAAGCCUACAGGUGCUGUGGCCCGAGAGGAAGAAAGGCUAUGAGGAAAGGCUGCUCAAUAAGAGAGCUGCUUUCUGCAUACUGCUGGCUGGGGCCUGUGCAACCAGAAGAAUGAACCUGGGGGUCACUCUGAGUGCCCCAGCAGCUCCAGAAGAUGGGCUGCUACAGAGAAGAGAAUAUAGGUGAGAGUGUGGACUGGAGAGAAAGGACCAAGCUUCUCUGCCAGUCCUCAAGAGAAUUCCACUUUCCUCCAGGCUCUGGGGAUCAGGAGUCUGCAGUCUUGACAAGCUCCCAGGUGCUGCUGUCCCUGCUGGUCCCACAACUGCCUUUGAGAAGUGGAGGUGUAGCCUUGGAGGAUCAGAAUCACUGGCAUCACCUGAGGGCAGUGCCCAGUAAGGCAGAUGCCUCCACCCGGACCUUAUCCCUGAGCCUCAAGCCUGCGUGAGGCCCACCUGCCGUCUGGCUGGAGGACCAGGCCCCGCGUGUUUGCUCCAGCAGCUCCAGCACCACCAGGAGGGUGAAGCAGACUAGCUGUCCUCACUCAGGAGGCUGAUGGGACAAAAGGGCUUGGUUGACCCCACAGAUCCAGGCAUGUCUGUAAGAUGAGGAAAUUCUGCUGGGCUCCCUGGUCUGAGAACCCAGAAAGAAAGUGAAAUGCUUAAGUUUCAGGGUCGCCCUCCCUGCAGAGCCCCUGUAAUGCUGGGAGUCACUGGGAUUUUCUGAGUGUUUUGGGGGUGAGGGUGGGGGUGGGCAGCAGGGGACACCAGCUUGUAAUCAGGAAGUGUUUCUCUGCAAACCAGGGUUUGAGUUUUGCUUUGUUUUGCAAACUGCCUGAAGACAUUUUAAAAGAAAGGUAGCUGAGUUCCCAAGGCUCUAGAAACUUGUUUUGACAGCUUUCUUGGUCUAAAUAAAUAUUUGUUCUUCUACCAUUAUUUUUUCUUUUUCUUAAAGUGCGCUUCCACCCUACAUGACCACUCUAACCCUGAGGCCAUCAAGAAUGAAAAGUGGCCUUUCUCCGCAAAAAGCUGAGAUGGUCGACCCCAGAUUCCUCUCCCCUCACUCCUGCUUGAAACAGAACGAGCUUUUUCAAAAGCACCUUCACUUCUCAACCAAGAUAAAAAGGUUGGAAGUCGACAGUGUCCUUAAAGGGCUUCAGCAGAUGGGUUGAAAUUCAGAAUCUCCUCGAAGUAAUGCAGGUUCCCUCCACCCCUUUGGAAAAUGUCUAAUUAAAAACAAAUAAGAAUUAAAAAUCAGCACCAUCCUCUGAUGUGGCUCAUA